rnacentral:rRNA from 1 species
UGGUGGAGCGAUUUGUCUGGUUAAUUCCGAUAACGAACGAGACUCUAGCCUAUUAAAUAGUUCGCCGAUUUCAUCGUGUCGACUCUA